rnacentral:lncRNA from 1 species
AAAAUUUUGACAGUCACAAUGUAUCAAUGCAUAUUGACUCUAUUAAUACAAUUUUCCUGUUUGCUUUGACCUUUAUUUUUCUUUACUCAAUUGAACAGAUAUUUUUGAGUGCUUACAUUGUGCUCGGAAGUGUAGGAGAUAAAAAAUGAAACAUAAAUCCUGCCCUCUGGGUUUAGGCGUAUACAAGUACAAUAGUCCAAUCAACGUAAGGAUGGGGAGGCAUUUGGGAUUCUGCUCCAUACGUCAUUCAGGGUUCCAGGCUUCCUCAACAUGUGGAUUUCAAGUUUUCAAGGAGUCCAGAGAUUGCAGGAUCCAGAGAAAACCCCGGGGUGAUGAUCGCCGCCUCCGGUACCAAGCUGGACAAUGGCCUAGAGAAGACUCAGAGGCCACUACGAAAUCUCCUAUCUGCCAAAACUCCCAGCGCUUUCAACUUCUCCUAGACAAACAAUAAUUUGACUUUUGCUUCUCUUUUACCUUCAGAAUCCCAUGCAAGAGACUCUCAUUGAUGAGAUUCUUGGAAAUUUAGCUCCAAUCUUUUAACUCCAAUACAGACCAUGGAAGGGAGACAAUGACAAGUUACGAAUGACAAUCUAAACAGUAGUUUUUAUUGUUAAGUAUAUGUGCAUUCACUGUAUUUUUAUCAGCAUGCUUUAUA